GAUCUCGUAGCUUAAUUGGAUAGAGUACUUGGUUACGGCCCAAGAGGUUGGGGGUUCGAGUCCCUCCGGGAUCA
rnacentral:tRNA from 1 species